AGAUCUAUAAAAAAUACAAUCUCUUAUUAUGUUCCUUAUUAUUAUUGUUUUAGAAGGAAAUGGCAUCUGCCCCGGUUCAUUUCCUCAGAAACGAAACCAAACAGAGUACAGUUUAUUACAGCACGUGGGGGAAGAUUGCAUCAUGAACCCCGACAACAUUCAGGCUAGCAGGAAAUAGAAUAAAACGGGCUCUAAACCACCCGAGGGGGAGCCAAGUAUACAAGAGAGAACAAAUGGAUCUUUGGAGCACUUUUUUGUCAUCCCUCCAGGGCUACCAUGUUGUCUACACCUAUCCACCCUCCCGCUUUCCUCAUAGAGUAUUGCAGCCACAACUCCCUCUUCCUCAACCUGGCUCUGGCCAGAGCAGCAGUGGUGGUCUUCUGGCAACCUCCCAUAGAGAUGUUAUGAACCUCUCCACGAGCUCUUUUGCGCCGCCCUUGCACAAGAUCUUCCAUAGAUUGCAUAAACAUGCUAUCUUCUUCAAAAUCACCUGCACUCCCAUCCAGAUGGCAUUGUUAAAACAUAAAUCAUUUCUAUAUUCUCCAGAUAGCCAAGAGAGUAGAUGAGGUAAUCAAAUUGUCAGGUUGCAAUGAUUUAUUUUCCCCACAUUUUUGCCACAUUUUCCAAAGUGGCGAGGGGUACACACCCAGUAAUGGAAUGAAUAAUUCUCUAGAUUUCAGCAGCAACAUCACACUCAAAGAAGAGGUGAUUAGUUGUUUCAUAUUCACAUCAGAAUAGGCAACUAAUAUCAUUUAAUUGUUGUUUCUUACUUAAAUUCCCUCUAACUAACAACUUGUCAUGAGCCAAUAGCCACAAGAAAAUAUGAAUGUUAGGGGGCACAUGUAUCUGCCAAAUAUCAGGGAUAUUAACAAGGCUAAUGCCCCUAAAGUUAAUCAUGACAUACAUAGAUCUAACAAUAUAUUUACCAUUAGAUUCUAAUUUCCAAAUUAAUGCAUCAUCCUCAUCAGAUAAGCUGAUAGAUUGAGCAAUACUAACUAGAUCAAAACAGAGAUGCAACAGUCUAUUGUCCACACACCUCCUUAAUGUGAUCUUAAGAUUUACCUCAUCCCAAAGGUCAGCAAUGGGGAUAUUAUGCUCAUUAUAAAUACUAUAUAACUCCCAAAAUUGGGUGGCCAAGCUACAGGAUCCAAACCAAUGAUCCUCCCAAAAGUUUACUUUUCUCCCAUUUCCAAUUUUGCAUUGGAAACCUACUUUGGCAGCUUUAGCUGCCUAGAGUACACCUUUCCAAAAAGGAGAGGAGUUGUUAUCAGGGCAAGAGAAAAAAUAUUGGGAUUUCUAGUUCUAUAUUUGGAAUCAACAAUCUGCUUCCACAUCUCUUGGUCUCCCAACUGGUAUUUAUAAACCCAUGAGGCUAGCAGGCUUAGGUUCAUUUCAGCAAUGUUAGGUACACGUAAGCCACCCUAUUGCUUCUUCUAGGUAAGAAGCCCCCAAUUAGCUAGGUGGUACCUGUGAUGUCCCUCAAAUAUCCCAGAAGCGGUGAGCUAUCUGCGAAUUGAUCAUAUUAAUAGCCCACUUGGGGAAUUUGAUCAUACUCAUAAGAUAAGUAGGAAUACUAGUUAAACAAGCUUGGACCAACACUAGUUUCUUAUCAUAUCCUAAUAGCCUUCCUCCCCAUCCAGCAACUCUUUUUAAGACUUUUUCAACCACAGGUUGCAAGUCUUCUCUUCUGAGUUUUGAGUGGUGAAGAGUAAAUCUAAGAUAUUUAAGGGGAAAGGAUCCCAGAUCACAAGAUAAGCUCCACAUUCUAGGUCUCUUCCUCCUUAACAUUGAUAGGUAUUAUAUCACUUUAUGAAAGUUAAUCCUUAAGCCAGACAUUUGUUCAAAACAAGAAAGCAACAAUUUUAAAUUCUUAGCAGAUUCAAGGUUAUUUUCCAAAAACAGGAGAGUAUCAUCUGCAUACUACAAAGUAGUUAUCCCCUGAGGAAAAAUAUUAGGCAUCAACCCAGUUAACAUUUUGUUUUUAGCAACUUUAUUUAGCAUUCUGCUAAAUACAUCAACUACCAUGUUGAAAAGCAGAGGCGAGGAAGGAUCACCUGGUCUCACACCCUUAGAGGUCUCAAAAAAAUCACUACUAUAGUCAUUAAUUCUAACACCUACAGACACUUUAUAUAGAAGAGAUUCAAUCUUCUUCAUCCAUUUAAGGCUAAAUCCCCUCUGGUACAUCACAUCCAUAAGGAAUUGUUUACUAAUUCUAUCACAUGCCUUCUCAUAAUCAAGCUUAAAGACAAAACCUUCUUUGUCAUUAAUAACAACAUCAUUAAUAAUUUCAUGAGCUAUCACCACACUUUCCACUAUGAACCUGCCUUUAAUGAAGGCAAUUUUGUUUUGAGAAAUGAUCUCAUCACCAAUCUCCCCUAACUGAUUAGCAACACACUUAGCAAAAAAAUUGAAGCUACAAUUGGUCAGAGCAAUUGGCCUAAAUUUUUGAAUGGUACUAGCAUCAGGUUCUUUUUGGGAUCAAGGUUAAUAAAUAAAAGUUCAGCCUAUAUAGAUCUAAGGAGUCAUUGUUCCAGACAUCUACCAUAAACAUAAGAUCACUCUUAACAGUGGACAAAAAAUGUUGAUAAAAGAGGAAGGGGAAGCCAUUAGGGCCAGGAGCCCCUCAACAUAAGAUCCAAACACUGCUUUUUUAACAUCUUCUUCUGUUAUAUUGAUUUCCAACUUUAUAUUAUUUUCAUUGGAUACCCUUUUAGAAGGGUCACAAAAAUUAUCAUCUAAGGAUAUAUCUAGAGUAUCUUCUCUACCAAAUAAGUGCUUGCAGUAUUAUAUACAAUAACAAUUUUUUCAACAUCUUCAACGGGACCAUUUGGUCCAUUUAACAUGGAAAUCAGCUUCUUCCUCCUUCUUUGAUUAGCCAAAGCAUGGAAGUAAGCAUUAUUUCUCCAUCCUUCUAAGAUAUUUCUCUCUCUGGAUCUUUGUCUAGACUUAAUCUCCUCCAAUCUUCGGAUAUUUUGGAGGUCUAGAGCUAUUUUAUCCAUAUGAGCCUUGGAAGGUGGGGAUAACACCUUUGUUUCAGAUUCAAUGUCUAAUAGAUCAUACUCAGCAACCAACUGUUGUUUGGUUCUGUUUUGGGCAGCCUCAUAAUUGGCAUUCCAACCCCUACACACUUUCCUCAGUAUUCUAAUCUUGAAUUGCCACCUAUCUAAAGGGUCUUUAAUAGAGCAAGGAGUAUUCCAACAUUUCUUAACCAUAUCCUCAAAACCCUUUACCUCCAACCACCAUUUUUCAAACCCGAAUUGCUUGUUUUUUGGUAGUUGGAUAUAUCCAUAUCAAAAACUAGAGGGGCAUGAUCACUACCCAUCCUAGGGAGGGAUUUAAGUUUGAUAGAAGGGAAUAUAAUUUCCUAGCAGGUAGAAAUAAAAAACUUUAUCAAUGUUAGCCAUCACUAGAUUAUCCUGGUUAUUGGCCCAAGUAAACUUCCUACCAGAAUUUUUGAUUCAAUUAGACCAUAUUUGUUAACCCAAUCAUUGAAUAGGCUUACCCAAUGAAAGUUAACCACCCCAGUAUUUUUCUCCUCACUACUCCUAAGUAGGUUGAAGUCACCUCCAAUAAUAGUGGGACCCAACCAAGCAUCCAUACUAUUAUGGAGCUCAUUGAUAAAUUCAAGGUUGGAGUUAUCAUAUGCUAAACCAUAUACAACUACAAAUCUCCAAGUUUUCUUAUUCUUCUUAUCCUUAAGCAGACAAGUGACAAAAAAUUCUAAGGUAUCAACAGAGAUAAUUUGAAAUUCCUCAUGUUUAAUACCAACCAAGAUACCCCUGCUAUACCGUUAGCUGGUAGCCAGUGCCAGGAGAAAAUAUCUUGUGGGUCAAUGUUAGCAAGUUGUAUACUACAAAAUGAAUAUCUCUUAGACUCAGAAAAACCUACCAAAUCAGCUUGGGUGUCUCUAAUUAGUUGACCCACUGCCUCAAGUUUUCAGGCUUAUUAAGCCCCCUAACAUUCCAAAAUAGGCCUACUACCAUUAUUAAAAUCUAGUUUUCUACAACUACUUUUUUACCUGAAACUACAUCAACCUAUGUAGGUAUAUCAACAUGGUAGCCACAACUGUGGGCACACCCUUAUUCUACAUUGCCUGAAUGAGCGUUACUAAAUUCAUUAGCACUGGUAUCUAUGUUAUCAGGAAGAGAACACUCUGGAUGCGAAUCUUGAAAGGCAGAUAACCCAUUGUCCUCUACCAGCCUAAUGGCAUGGAUAUUAUGAGAUACAAUAUCUUCAUCAUUGCCUAAAUUCGGACCAGCUUUUUUGGCUUUCAACAUUAAUGCAUCAUCAUUAAAUGUAGAAAAGGAAUUAGAGUUUCUAUUACCUUUAGGUAUCUCCAGGUCUUUGAGCUUUCUGAGAUCUUCAACCUUUUGUAUGGUAGUUCUCCCAUCUCUUCUAAUUCUAGCACCCACCCUGGCGCCACCACAGGGCCCAAUUUUUGGCCUUGUCUAAAGGAUGUGGAAGCUGCUGGGUUGGAGCCUCUAAGAUUGUGGCCUCCCCAUCAGACUCCGCAUCAAACUGCUCAAGUAACCGAGUACCAAUGUUCUCAGUAGGCUGUUUUUGCUGCACAUCUUUCUUUGCAUUGCUAGCUUCACUCAGACCUAAGAUAACACUUUGCA
rnacentral:lncRNA from 1 species